GACGAACGCUGGCGGCGUGCUUAACACAUGCAAGUCGAACGGAAAGGCCCUGCUUUUGUGGGGUGCUCGAGUGGCGAACGGGUGAGCAACACGUGAGUAACCUGUCCUUGACUUUGGGAUAACUUAAGGAAACUGGGGCUAAUACCGGAUAGGAGCUCCUGCUGCAUGGUGGGGGCGGGAAGGUUUAGGCGGUUGGGGAUGGACUAGCGGCUUAUCAGCUCGUUGGGUGGGUAGUGGAUGACCAAGGUCUUGAGGGGUAGCAGGGCUGCGAGGCGGAGAGGCCACACUGGGAUGGAGAUACGACCCAGACUCGACCGGGAGGCAAAGGAGGGGAAGGUUGCAUAGUGGGCGGAGGCCUGAUGCAGCCACGCCGCGUGCGGGAUGACGGGCUUCGGUUUGUAAUGCACUUCCGCUUGUGACGAAGCGUGAGUGACGGUAAUGGGUAAAGAAGCACCGGCUAACUACGUG
rnacentral:rRNA from 1 species